rnacentral:rRNA from 1 species
UACGGAGGGUGCAAGCGUUAAUCGGAAUUACUGGGCGUAAAGCGCACGUAGGUGGUUUGUUACGCUAGAUGUGAAGGCCCCGGGCUCAACCUGGGAAUUGCAUUUAGAACUGGCAAGCUAGAGUAGGGUAGAGGGGUGUGGAAUUCCAGGUGUAGCGGUGAAAUGCGUAGAUAUCUGGAGGAACAGCAGUGGCGAAGGCGGCACCCUGGACACAAACUGACGCUGAGGUGCGAAAGCGUGGGGAGCAAACAGG